rnacentral:rRNA from 1 species
UACAGAGGGUGCGAGCGUUGUCCGGAAUCACUGGGCGUAAAGGGCGCGUAGGCGGCUUGAUAAGCGUGCGGUGAAAGCCCGGGGCUCAACCCCGGGUCGGCCGUGCGAACUGUCGAGCUGGAGCACUGUAGAGGCAGGUGGAAUUCCGGGUGUAGCGGUGGAAUGCGUAGAGAUCCGGAAGAACACCGGUGGCGAAGGCGGUUCUCUGGGACGGUACUGACGCUGGAGACGCGAAAGCGUGGGGAGCGAACAGG